UCCCAGGUAGCUCAGAUGGUAAAGAGUCUGCUUGCUAUUUGGGAGUCCUGGGUUCAAUCCCUGGCUUGGGAA
rnacentral:tRNA from 1 species